rnacentral:rRNA from 1 species
UAAAGUUUUGAAAGGGUACUCAAUGAAGAUCUUGAUAGAAAUUAAUUACAAGGACGUUACAAUACGAAAAGUUGUGAGGAGACAUAGGUCUGUGAUUCAUAAAUUUCCUUAGAGAAAACUCAAAUAUUUAAUAGUUUAAAUGAACAAUGUGAAUUGAAUCAUCUUAGUAGCAUUUAAAAAAAUCAAACGAGAAUUUGUGAGUAAUGGCGAAUGAAAGCAAACAAGCAGUAUAAAAUUUAUUUACGAAAUUCAACUAAAGAAGGUAAAAGUCCUGUAAUAAAUAAAUUUUAUAUAUCAGAAGAAAGUAAUAUGAUGAAUUUUGUAUGAACAAAGGAGAUCCACCUUCUAAAGCUUAAAGAUAAUUUCUAAUCGAUAGUGAACGAGUAUUGUGAAAAAAAGAUGAAUAAAUCCGACUAAGGAAAAAUGAAAUUGAGUAUUUAUAAAUUUUCGAAGUUUAAAACUACGAAGUGCCUUUUGCAUAAUGAAUCAGUAAGUUAAUAUAUAUUGCAAGUUUAAAACAUAGCGAUUAAACAAAAGUAAUAUAAAUUAUACCUGAAACCAAGUGAUCUAACCGCGAACAAGUUGAAUAUUUAUUAAAUUAAAUUGGAGGGCUGAACUCACAUAUGUAGCAAAAUAUGGAGAUGAUUUGUGGUUAGGAGUGAAAGAUUAAUCAAACUUGGAGAUAGCCGGUUUUUCACGAAACGUAUUUAAGUACUACGUAGUUUAAAUAAAUUGUGUUUAGAGUUACUAAGUAAAAGAAGGAGCGUAAAAACUUACUGAAUUUAAUAUAACUCCGAAACAAAAUUUAACUUUUAACUACAGACAGUCUAUAGGCGAUAAGGUUUAUAGACGAGAGGAAAACAAUCCAGACCAUUUACUAAGAUCUUAAAAUUAUAAGUUUAGGGAAAAAGAUUUAAAUAAGAGCAAAUAUAAUUUGAAUAAGCUUAGAAGCAGCUAUUUACUAGAGAAAGCGUUUUAGCUCGUUAUUUAUUUUCUUAAUUUAAAUCAAAGAUAAAGGAGACUAUAAACUAUAUAUCGAUGUAGUGGAUCAAAUAAAUAUUGAUGGUAGUGAAACACUUUGUAAUUUUAGUAGUUUGUAAAAAGUAACUAAAAAUAUCAAAAGAGCUAAUGCUGAUAUGAGUAACGUAAAUUGUGUUUAAUCACAAUCUCUUUAUGUUUAAGGUUUUUAACGCAAAUUCAAAAACGUUAAGUGAGUCGGUCCUUAAAGAGUAAAUGAAAAUUAAAUCUGAAAGGAAUUUAAAAAUUAAAACUAAUUAUAUGCAUAAUAUUUGUGUAAGAAGCUAAAAUUUCAUAUUAUAUAAUUAAUUAAGGGAAUUUUUAUUAAACUUUUAGCUUUCAAGAAAAACUUAUAAUUAGAAGCCGUACUUAAACCGACACUGGUAAACUGGUUAAGAAAACUAAAGUGAUCGAAUAAAUUAUGUUGAAGGAACUAGGCAAAUUAACUCUGUAAGUUCGCGAUAAAGAGAACCAAAUAAAACAGUUUGGUAUAAAAACAAAAAGCAACGACUGGUUAACAAAACCACAGGACUCUGCAAAUUAAUUAAAAUGUAUAGAGUCUGAUGCCUGCCCAGUGCCUAAAAAAGAAAAAAAUGGGUAUAAUUUGCUCAAAUUUGAAUUCUAGGUAAACGGCGGUUCUAACUAUAAGAAUCCUUAGGUAGCGAAAUUCAUUGACGGGUAAAUUCCGUCCUGCAUGAAAGGCUUAACGAUUGCUUUACUGUCUCCAAUAUAAAUUCGGUGAAAUUACAAUACCUGUGAAAAUGCAGGUUUCUUGCAGUAAGACGGAAAGACCCUAGAUCCUUUACUCUAAUUUUAUAUUGUAAAUGCAUUUUUGUUGAAUAGGAUAAGUGGGAGUGCAAACUAAAUUGAAAUACCACUCUACUAAAAGAAAUUUACUUAUUAAAACUAAAACGUUAUAAGAUAGUAUAAAAAUGAGAGUUUACUUGGGAUGAGUACCUCCCAAAAAGUAACGGAGGUGUACGAAGGUAAAUACAAAAGUAUAAUGGCGCAAUUUUGCCUGACAAUUAGAUUGAUAAAUCAAGUUGAGACGCAAGUCAGUCAUAGUGAUCCAAUAUUAUCGAAAAGCGUGGAAUUAAUAUUGCUCAACAGAUAAAAGGAACUCUAGGGAUAACAGAUUCAUCGUGAUUGAAAGCUCAUAUUGAUAUCACGGUUUGAUACCUCGAUGUCGACUCAUCUUAUCCUGAAACUGAAACCGGUUUCAAGGGUCUAGUUGUUCGCUAGUUAAAAAGGUACGUGAGUUGGGUUCAGAACGUCGUGAGACAGUUCGGUCCCUAUCUACUGCAAGUAAGGAAAAUAAAAAGAGUAUUUUUAGUACGAGAGGACCAAAAUACAUUAACCUAUGGUGAUAAGUUGUUGUACCUACAGCAAAUUUAAUAGCUAAGUUAAUUAAUUAUAAAUGCUGAAAGAAUCAAAAAGCAUGAAAAUAACUUUUAAUUUUUCGCGAAUAAUCUAAAAGAUAAUUAGAUUGAUCGGUUUGAAGUGGAAGCUUAGUAAUGAGUUUAUUAAAAGCUUACAAAUACGAAUUUAUUCAAAAACUAUAUACU